rnacentral:lncRNA from 1 species
GUUUUGUAGGAUCAGCUGGGCACCGUCUUUGAAAAAAAAAAUAGCAGGAUGACGCAAUUCACUCCGCCAGAAAUUUGGGAACGACAUGGAGUACUGCUUGGAAUUCGCGCCGGAAGUUCCGAUAUGGACAUUUCAGAAUGUUUGGGUGUGAAUCUGAGGACCGUACAGCGGAUUCGGAUAGAGUUGGACGAGUCCAAUGAUUACGAAGGU